rnacentral:rRNA from 1 species
UACGGGGGGGGCAAGCGUUGUUCGGAAUUACUGGGCGUAAAGGGCUCGUAGGUGGCCAACUAAGUCAGACGUGAAAUCCCUCGGCUUAACCGGGGAACUGCAUCUGAUACUGGAUGGCUUGAGAUUGGGAGAGGGAUGCGGAAUUCCUGGUGUAGCGGUGAAAUGCGCAGAUAUCAGGAGGAACACCGGUGGCGAAGGCGCUCUGCUAGGCCGCAACUGACACUGAGGGACGAAAGCUAGGGGAGCGAAUGGG